CAGCCUCCUGAGUAGCUGGGAUUACAGGUGAGCACCACCAUGCCCAGCUAAUCGUAAAAGACUUUUCAUAAAACUUCAGAACUCCUUAAAAACUAGUGAAUAGCCAAGGUGAAGAAAGCCCUCAGGCUUCUGACUUUAGACCCCAAUCCCUGGGACUCCCACACUCAGCAAAGAAAGCUGGGUGCCUGCACCCUGGAUCUCUGAGCAAACCUGUCUUAUGGCUGUGGGCAACUCAGGAACAUGAAUUAGCACGAGAAUCUGGAGUUUUUCUUUCCUUUUCUGAGAGUUUCAUACGCAGACCUUAAG
rnacentral:lncRNA from 10 species